UACGGGGGGGGGCAAGCGUUGUUCGGAAUUACUGGGCGUAAAGGGCCAGUAGGCGGCCAACUAAGUCCGACGUGAAAUCCCCAGGCUUAACCUGGGAACUGCGUCGGAUACUGGAUGGCUUGAAUUCGGGAGAGGGAUGCAGAAUUCCAGGUGUAGCGGUGAAAUGCGUAGAUAUCAGGAGGAACACCGGUGGCGAAGGCGGGUCUCUGGGCCGAUACUGACGCUGAGGAGCGAAAGCGUGGGGAGCGAACAGG
rnacentral:rRNA from 1 species